AACGAACGCUGGCGGCAGGCUUCUUAACACAUACAAGUCAACCGCCCCUCCUUCAAACAACCUUGAACCCAAAACCCUUGAAAAAAAAGAUCGAAAAGACCUUCGAAGAAGCUUUCUUGAUGGAGGGGAGCGGCAGACGGGUGAGUAACGCGUGGGAACGUACCCUUUUCUACGGAAUAACGCAUGGAAACGUGUGCUAAUACCGUAUACGCCCUUAGGGGGAAAGAUUUAUCGGAGAAGGAUCGGCCCGCGUUGGAUUAGCUAGUUGGUGGGGUAAAGGCCUACCAAGGCGACGAUCCAUAGCUGGUCUGAGAGGAUGAUCAGCCACAUUGGGACUGAGACACGGCCCAAACUCCUACGGGAGGCAGCAGUGGGGAAUAUUGGACAAUGGGCGCAAGCCUGAUCCAGCCAUGCCGCGUGAGUGAUGAAGGCCCUAGGGUUGUAAAGCUCUUUCACCGGUGAAGAUAAUGACGGUAACCGGAGAAGAAGCCCCGGCUAACUUCGUG
rnacentral:rRNA from 1 species